CGUAGGGGGCAAGCGUUGUCCGGAUUUAUUGGGCGUAAAGAGCUCGUAGGCGGCUCAGUAAGUCGGGUGUGAAACCUCCAGGCUCAACCUGGAGACGCCACCUGAUACUGCUGUGGCUAGAGUCCGGUAGGGGAGCGUGGAAUUCCUGGUGUAGCGGUGAAAUGCGCAGAUAUCAGGAGGAACACCGGUGGCGAAGGCGGGUCUCUGGGCCGUAACUGACGCUGAGGAGCGAAAGCGUGGGGAGCGAACAGG
rnacentral:rRNA from 1 species